rnacentral:rRNA from 1 species
AGAUUGAACUGAAGAGUUUGAUCCUGGCUCAGAUUGAACGCUGGCGGCAUGCUUUACACAUGCAAGUCGAACGGCAGCACGGGCUUCGGCCUGGUGGCGAGUGGCG